rnacentral:rRNA from 1 species
CCUACGGGAGGCAGCAGUGGGGAAUAUUGCACAAUGGGGGAAACCCUGAUGCAGCGACGCAGCGUGAGCGAGGAAGUCUUUCGGGAUGUAAAGCUCUAUUAGCAGGGACGAAAAAAGACGGUAUCUGACUAAGAUGCUCCGGCUAAGUACGUGCCAGAAGACGCGGUAAUAUGUAGGGGGCACGCGUUAUCCGGAUUUACUGGGUGUAAAGGGAGCGUAGGCGGCAAGGAAAGGCAGAUGUGAAAAGGCAGGGCUCAACCCUGUACAUGCAUUUGAAACUGUGUGGCUAGAGUGCAGGAGAGGCAAGUGGAAUGCCUAGUGUAGCGGUGAAAUGCGUAGAUAUUAGGAGGAACACCAGUGGCGAAGGCGGCUUGCUGGACUGUAACUGACGUUGAGGCUCGAAAGCGUGGGGAGCAAACAGGAUUAGAUACCCUUGUAGUC